GCCGCUUCAAGCAUAUCCAUCACUCCUGACGGUCUCAUAAUCCCUGCCGCAGUGAUAAAAUCGUACUCGGCUCUGAUAAGAUCGUGGAAUUGCCGAUAGCCAUCAAUAAUCGCGUUCUAAAGAAAUCAUGAGUGUCAGCGAUGUCUUGACUUCCUCGUCCCCGUCUAGUAUAGCAACUUACAUAGGCUGGAGGGACCAACACCGCAACGGUGUCUUCAUCUAACAAAUACAUCCUCAAUUCCUUCUUCCACUCCUCCACUUCUGUGGUGCAGACUGACUUGAAUUGCUCAUGCACCUCCUUCACCUUUUCAGAAGUUGCAAAUUCCUGUGCCGACAAGUCGGUCUUGGCCGAACUUGACGAUGCCGCCGACUUCGCGAUGUAAGCCGUACAUUUAUCAAGAAAAGUGCGCAAAGGAGAGGUUGCACGCGUUGCGACAAGAGAGAUGAGAUCUUCACAUGAUGCUUUGAGGGCGCGAUCGAUGUCCGUUCGAGCGUCGGGGACGAAGUUAGAUUGAGCGGUACCUCGUUGAUAGCCCAAGAGAGAAGAGGCAUUGUCAAGUAAGGACUUCAAGAAGUCUUUCAAUUGGGUCAGCUACCAGAUAAUAAAAGCUGCAUAUAUCAACUGACCUCCAAGACCACUCCAUUCUUGUCUCCUUGCUUUGCCCAACUCCAAUCCAGUCGUCAUUUCUUUCAGGAUCAAGAGAUGCCUCACCAAAAACAUCUUGGCGUCCAUGUUCUUGUUUUUACCCUUCUUAGCUACCAGCAUAUCGGAAGCAGAAGAGAGAGAACGACGACACAUGGUUACCGCUUCCUGAGCAAGAUCCUCAAAAACAACGGCCUGUCAAAGCGGUAUGCAAACAGGAUAAGACCCAAAGAGUCACUCUCAAAGGAGGAUACCAACUCUUUUGAGCUUCUGCAGGAGGUAACUCAAGAAUGGCUGGUUCAUCAUCGUCUUCGGCAUCCAACGAUACCGCCAGCUGCCUAGGAACGAGCUUGUUACCUUGCAAACCUAUCGAUAGUUAAAACAUGAGCAGCCAUUCCCCUUCAAAUGCAUUUCCAAGUUACCUAGCUUGAGUCUUUCGGGGUAGUCCAAAUCUCCCUCCUUCGGUACAUAGUACUCCACGUCUGCACUGAGCAGCGCUUGAGCUCUGAAGACUAGUCUGGUCUGUGUGUCUUGCAGCACCAUGCGCA
rnacentral:sRNA from 1 species